rnacentral:rRNA from 1 species
AGAGUUUGAUCAUGGCUCAGAUUGAACGCUGGCGGCAGGCCUAACACAUGCAAGUCGAGCGGAUGAUGGGAGCUUGCUCCUGGAUUCAGUGGCGGACGGGUGAGUAAUGCCUAGGAAUCUGCCUGGUAGUGAGGGACAACGUUUCGAAAGGAACGCUAAUACCGCAUACGUCCUACGGGAGAAAGCAGGGGACCUUCGGGCCUUGCGCUAUCAGAUGAGCCUAGGUCGGAUUAGCUUGUUGGUGAGGUAAUGGCUCUCCAACGGGACGCUCCUUAGCUCAUGUGAGAGGAUGAUCAGUCCCUCGUUUUCCGGGACACAGCUCAGACCAUGACUGCAGACUCCACAGGCCGUCUUUUUCCAGGAUACAUCUCAUGUCCCGGACUCCGGAUCCACCUUCUCGUCGUGUGUUCAAUGUAAACAAGUACUAUGGCCACGAUUACCGGAUUCAGG